GAUGGCUCAGCAGGUAAGAGCACUGAUUGGUAUUCCAGAGGACCUGGGUUCAAUUCCCAGGCCAUCA
rnacentral:tRNA from 1 species